rnacentral:rRNA from 1 species
ACAUGCCUACAACAUGGAGUUAAUGCAUUGGAUCCAAUUAGAACUUUGCAGUUAUGCGCACUUGGGAUAGAUUAAUACUGGGAUGGGUGUUCACCCAGGAAGUCCUAAUGUUUUACAUGCC